GCUGUGGGGGAGAUGCUGUGCACCGUGUGUUAAGUAGACUGCCCUCGUCCGUCUCCUCCAGGUCCUUGUCUGUCUGUGUGACGUGUCUGUACAGUUCCCAGGAAACCAAGUCUCUCUGUGUGACGUGAUGGUUACAUCGGCCACAACACAGGGUGUUUCCAAGACAGAGGUUAUACUGUCAUGAAAAGUGUGUUUUAUUUGUCUGUUGGCAAGAAAUGCGCGUUUGACCUGUGUGUACUAAGGUGAGCUUGUCCUGCCUCUGUUGGCACCAAGAGUCUUUGCUGUGCUUGCAGUAAACUGUACCGAGGGCACACGCAUCAACUACGGCAAGAGAAUCUGGGAAGAGUGCCCUCUGGGACCUACCAGGACGAACCUUACCAGACAAGCUGUAAGAACUGUUCCGCAGGAAUGAGUACAAGUACCAAUGGCACGAGACUGGCCUCGGACUGUGAGACGUUUUGCCAGAUUGGCUUUGAGAAGAACUCGGUGACAGACACGUGUGAUGAAUGCCAGAGAGGCUUCUACAAAAA